AGGGGUGUAGCUCAAUUGGUAGAGCACUGGUCUCCAAAACCAGGUGUUGCAGGUUCGAGUCCUGUCUCCCCUGCCA
rnacentral:tRNA from 4 species